UUUUAAUGAUGAGUUUCCUUUCUUUUUUUUUUUUGUCGGGGAUUUAUUUAGAUAUUACAAUUAAGAGAAAGAUUACAAAGACGAUUCGAUUACCGACAAUACUACCUGCCUUAUGAGGAUCUACGCCUAACUGUCUCAUUUGAGCCGUCCUAUGAAGAUCACGCCUGACCGGAUUUACUUGCACCAUGUUGAGAAACUCUUGUAAGCCUUUCUUCCGUAAUCGCAUAAUUGUUGAAUAAAUCGCUUGCUCUGGGAAUUGAAACCUGGAUUUCCUGUGCAAUCUGUAAGAAAUUGCAUAGUCUAGAAUUUGAACCCGAGCCCUGGGUGUAGAAGCCUUUAAACCAUAACCACUAAGCUACGGUGGUUCCACAAUCUAUUUGAUGUAAGUUUGUAAACCACUAUUUUUUUCUCUGGAAAUAAAUAUUUUUACAGUUAUAUUUUAAUUCUCUAAAAAAAGUUUUGCGGUAACAUAUUUUGAAAAAGAAAGUAAAUUUAAUUGAUUGAUAUAUAAGAUUUUCGACUAAAUUUUGGCUGUGCAUAGCACCAAAGCAACAACCCCAAUAUCUGAUUCUAAUUAUUCAAACGAGAUAUAAAAUGUCAAAUACGUUUUCCAAGUGAGAAGGCAUCCAGUAAUAAAUCAAGAACCAUUGAU